rnacentral:sRNA from 1 species
UUUCAGUCCCUUCCCAUCCAUCCCUUCAAACAUAGUUCGCUACCUUUUAUCUCAAAAGAUAACCAAAAAAACCUCUUGAUUCUGGUCAUACUCUUCCUUUCACUGUAACAAUAACAACAACAACAAAACCUUAUUCUUCUCCUUUACAAUUCUUUAACGUUUUUUUCUUUUCUGCUAUUCCCAAUCCCUAAACACCAUCUCACGUUUAGAUUAUAUAGCUUUCCACUUCGUCUCCGAGUUCCUGCGAGCACCUUAUAUCCCUUUUACCCCAACCAAGUCCUUAAAUUUUAUUUAUAUUUAGCGUCACAAUACGAGUAAAUAUUGUCUUUUUAAAAAAAGCACAACUAUCUCAAACGUCUCCCUUGGACACACCAAUGGCUACAUUAAGCUCUUUAGAACGUAGAAAUGAAAGAACGCCUCCCGGGUUCAAACGAUUCUACUGAACAAAUUAAAGAACGGAUGGCAUGUAGGUGCGUUUUUACAACUCAUGUGAACGGGUACGCUAAGGCCCUCUGUCACUGCGGGCUUCGCUGCCCCCAUGAAGGUUUUUCCCAGCAAAAAUCUGGCUUGCCUUCUACAGCUCUGAAGUACACACUUAAACCCAAGCUCUUUGUCUCUGACCGCCCUGGCCUGAACUGGCUGGGCGGAGAUUCUCGCGAAUUCUCGGAUCUGCGCGGAAAACGCGCUCGAGGCAGUUCUCUGACGCAUUUCCGGAGCGCCAGGGAAGAGGGAAGUCGUGGUGGUCGCGGGGGAGCCGGAAAGAUGGUGGUUACUAGAUCUGCACGGGCUAAGGCCAGCAUCCAAGCCGCGUCGGCUGAAAGUUCCGGGCAAAAGGUAGGAAAUCCAGUCUUCCCUACUUCUCGCCGCUUCGCAGAGCCGCGCUCAGGCAGGCGGGGCGGCGUAAGGGUCCUGUUAAGGGUGAGGACCUGCCGAAAGAGAGGACCCGAGCUUGCCGCGCGCUUGGGUCUCCCAGGCCCCGUGCUAAGCCUGUCACGGAAACUGUUUAGCCCUCACCAGUCUUUUAAGGCAAUUUUUAGUAUGGAAGAGAGGUUAGAUAACUUUGUUUGGGUCGUUUAACUCCUUAAUGCAGAAGCACAGUUCGAGCUUUUAAACCAUACUGUUAACACGGUACCAAGGAGGGUUAAUUUUGGCCACCAUGCACAAGCCCCAUUUAGAGGGGCUGGGAAAAAAGCUUCGUUUUCACGUGGGAAGGCUGGCAGCUGUCCAGCAUCGCCUCCUUAAGGCGUGAGGAGGGCUGUGGUGUCGUCGCCUGGUGACUCUUAGUGGCGUUAGUCGGCUGUCUCUUUCUGACUCUGCGAUGCAGGGAACAGAGCGGCGGCGAUUUUUUCCUGUACGAAAAGAGUUCUGCUGCUAAUGGGAUUCAAGCGCAUCCAGAAAGUAGUACUGGAUCUGAUGCCCGAACUACUGCUGAAUCACAGACUACUGGGAAACAAAGUUUAAUCCCUAGAACUCCUAAAGCUAGAAAGAGGAAGAGCAGAACUACAGGCUCACUACCAAAGGGGACUGAACCAUCUACAGAUGGAGAGACCUCUGAGGCAGAGUCAAAUUAUUCUGUGUCUGAGCACCAUGAUACCAUUUUAAGGGUAACUAGGAGAAGGCAGAUCUUAAUUGCAUGCUCCCCAGUGUCCAGUGUUAGGAAAAAGCCGAAAGUAACUCCAACAAAGGAGUCUUACACUGAAGAGAUAGUGUCUGAAGCAGAAUCUCAUGUUUCAGGUAUUUCUAGAAUUGUGCUUCCCACAGAAAAAACGACAGGAGCAAGAAGUAAGGCUAAAUCUCUGACAGAUCCAAGCCAAGAAUCUCAUACAGAAGCUAUAUCUGAUGCUGAGACAUCAAGCUCAGACAUUUCAUUCUCUGGAAUUGCAACUAGAAAAACCAGGAGUAUGCAGAGGAAAUUAAAGGCACAAACUGAAAAGAAAGAUAGUAAGAUUGUACCAGGAAAUGAGAAACAGAUCGUGGGUACACCUGUGAAUUCAGAGGAUUCAGAUACCAGACAAACUUCCCAUUUACAAGCAAGAUCUCUUUCUGAGAUAAAUAAGCCAAAUUUCUAUAAUAAUGACUUUGAUGAUGAUUUCUCCCACAGAAGUUCAGAAAAUAUAUUAACAGUGCACGAACAGGCCAGUGUUGAAUCUCUUAAAGAAACAAAACAGAAUUGUAAGGAUUUGGAUGAAGAUGCCAGUGGAAUAACAGAUGAGGGGAAAGAAAUUAAUGAGAAAAGUUCUCAGCUGAAGAAUCUUUCUGAACUUCAGGACACUAGCCUUCAACAGUUAGUUUCUCAGAGACAUUCAACCCCCCAAAAUAAAAAUGCUGUAUCAGUGCACUCUAAUCUGAACUCUGAGGCUGUAAUGAAAUCAUUAAGUCAAACAUUUGCAACUGUGGAAGUAGGCAGAUGGAAUAACAAGAAAAAGAGCCCCAUAAAAGCAAGUGACUUGACAAAGUUUGGUGAUUGUGGUGGUAGUGAUGAUGAAGAAGAGUCCACAGUUAUAAGUGUCAGUGAAGACAUGAACAGUGAAGGGAAUGUGGAUUUUGAAUGUGAUACCAAACUAUACACGUCUGCGCCCAACACAUCUCAGGGUAAAGAUAAUUCUAUCUUAUUAGUUCUCAGCAGUGAUGAAAGCCAACAGUCUGAAAACAGUGAGAAUGAAGAGGAUACUUUAUGUUUUGUUGAAAAUAGUGGCCAAAGGGAGUCAUUAAGUGGAGACACAGGAAGUCUGUCAUGUGACAAUGCAUUGUUUGUAAUUGACACAACUCCUGGAAUGAGUGCUGAUAAAAAUUUUUACUUGGAAGAGGAAGACAAGGCAAGUGAGGUUGCCAUUGAGGAAGAAAAAGAGGAAGAGGAUGAAAAAAGUGAAGAAGAUUCAUCAGACCAUGACGAAAAUGAAGAUGAGUUUAGUGAUGAAGAAGACUUACUAAAUAGCACAAAGGCUAAACUUCUAAAGUUGACAAGCAGCAGCAUAGACCCUGGUCUGAGUAUCAAGCAGUUGGGUGGUUUGUAUAUUAAUUUCAAUGCAGAUAAACUACAGUCUAACAAGAGAACCCUAACACAGAUC